rnacentral:rRNA from 1 species
AACGAACGCUGGCGGCAUGCCUAACACAUGCAAGUCGAACGAGACCUUCGGGUCUAGUCGCGCACGGGUGCGUAACGCGUGGGAACCUGCCCUUAGGUUCGGAAUAACUCCCCGAAAGGGGUGCUAAUACCGGAUAAUGUCUUCGGACCAAAGAUUUAUCGCCUUUGGAUGGGCCCGCGUUGGAUUAGCUUGUUGGUAGGGUAAAAGCAUACCACGGCGACGAUCCAUAGCUGGUCUGAGAGGCAGAUCAGCCACACUGGGACUGAGACACGGCCCAGACUCCUACGGGAGGGAGCAGUGGGGAAUAUUGGACAAUGGGCGAAAGCAUGAUCGAGCAAUGCCGCGUGAGUGAUGAAGGCAUUAGGGUUGUAAAGCGCUUUUAACCGGGAUGAUAAUGACAGUACCGGGAGAAUAAGCUCCGGCUAACUCCGUG